rnacentral:rRNA from 1 species
UCUGACACGGGGUGCAGCAGGCGCGAAAACUUUACAAUGCAGGCAACUGUGAUAAGGGAACCCCGAGUGCCCGUAUGGACGGGCUGUUCGGGUGCUUAAAAACCACCUGGAGAAAGGGCCGGGCAAGACCGGUGCCAGCCGCCGCGGUAAUACCGGCGGCUCGAGUGGUGGCCACUAUUACUGGGCUUAAAGCGUCCGUAGCUUGGUCGUUAAGCCUCUGGGGAAAUCUUCCGGCUCAACCGGAAGGCGUCUCAGGGGAACUGGCGGCCUAGGGAUCGGGAGAGGUGAGAGGUACUCUGGGGGUAGGAGUGAAAUCCUGUAAUCCUCAGGGGACCACCUGUGGCGAAGGCGUCUCACCAGAACGACUCCGACAGUGAGGGACGAAAGCUGGGGGAGCAAACCGGAUUAGAUACCCGGGUAGUCCCAGCCGUAAACGAUGCGCGUUAGGUGUAUCGGUGACCACGAGUUACCGAGGUGCCGAAGGGAAACCGUGAAACGCGCCGCCUGGGAAGUACGGUCGCAAGGCUGAAACUUAAAGGAAUUGGCGGGGGAGCACCUGGU